GCUCUUUUAGCUCAGUCGGUUAGAGCAGUGGACUGUUAAUCCACGUGUCAUUUGUUCGAAUCAAAUAAAGAGCG
rnacentral:tRNA from 1 species